rnacentral:lncRNA from 1 species
GUGCACUGCCACAAUAGACAUUACAUAGAUAACCAAGAGGCUGAAAUUCAUUUUCAUUAAGUUCUUCCAUGAAUAAUUUAGACUUGUAAGAGCAAAGUCGUUCAGUAGCUCACUGAAAGAGAAGGAACAAAUUUCUGUUAACUCUGUCAGCCAGCAUGACUAAUUCCUCCUGCAAUUCAGCCUAUGCAGGAUAUGCACAAUUUUCUCAUCAGUGCUGAGUAAUUUCUCAGGAUCUGGAAUGUGACAGCAUUCAAAUGUGCAUUUGCGAUUCUUCUUCUCAUAAGUGAUAUUGGGUCUGAAGUUCGAAUUGCCCAACUGAAGCUAAACUUGUGAAGAUGCAGAAAGUAGGGUUCUGACUUCUUUCUUUGCUUUAUUUUGGAUUUAAAUUCGUGUGUAACUUGGGAUUCAGAGACCUGAGUUAAUCUCACAAAGUUCCUCUAAUGAGAACCAUAUUAAGAUACAAUAUUCCAGCUGGCUGGGAAACAUUUGAAUGGAUGAAGAUUACAGAGGAAUACUCUUUGUCUCCAUAUGUACAGCACUAGUCUAUGCCUGGAAGUCAUCUGCCAAAGGCAGGCACUAAUCAACAAAAAUCUGCUUAGACACACCGAAGAGGAACAUCUUUGAGAAUAAGGCACAAGAUACAUGUUAUGGAAGACCU